rnacentral:rRNA from 1 species
UACAGAGGUCUCAAGCGUUGUUCGGAUUCAUUGGGCGUAAAGGGUGUGUAGGUGGCGCCGUAAGUCGGGUGUGAAAUUUCGGGAGCUUAACUCCGAAACUGCAUUCGAUACUGCGGUGCUUGAGGACUGGAGAGGAGACUGGAAUUCAUGGUGUAGCAGUGAAAUGCGUAGAGAUCAAUGAGGAAGACCAGUGGCGAAGGCGGGUCGUCUGGACAAGUCCCGUGACACUGAGACACGAAGGCCAGGGGAGCAAACGGG